rnacentral:rRNA from 1 species
UACGUAGGUUGCGAGCGUUGUCCGGAAUUACUGGGUGUAAAGGGCGUGUAGGCGGAGCUGCAAGUCAGAUGUGAAAUGUCAUGGCUCAACCAUGGAACUGCAUUUGAAACUGUGGCCCUUGAGUAUCGGAGAGGCAAGCGGAAUUCCUAGUGUAGCGGUGAAAUGCGUAGAUAUUAGGAGGAACACCAGUGGCGAAGGCGGCUUGCUGGACGACAACUGACGCUGAGGCGCGAAAGCGUGGGGAGCAAACAGG